AUGAUCUGUAAUUGAAAGGUCCGCCGCCUUAGGAUGGGUCUGCGGCAGAUUAGGUUGUUGUUGGGGUAACGGCCCAACAAGCCUGUAAUCUGUACGGGUUGUGGGAGCAAGAACCCGGAGAUGGAUUCUGAGACACGAAUCCAGGCCCUACGGGGCGCAGCAGGCGCGAAAACUUUACAAUGCGGGAAACCGUGAUAAGGGAACCCCGAGUGCCCGUAAAUUCGGGCUGUUAACCUGUUUAAAAAGCAGGUGGAGAAAGGGCCGGGCAAGACCGGUGCCAGCCGCCGCGGUAAUACCGGCGGCUCGAGUGGUGGCCACUAUUACUGGGCUUAAAGCGUCCGUAGCUGGAUUGUUAAGUCUCUUGGGAAAUCUACCGGCUUAACCGAUAGGCGUUCAAGGGAUACUGGCAAUCUAGGGACCGGGAGAGGUGAGAGGUACUCCAGGGGUAGGAGUGAAAUCCUGUAAUCCUUGGGGGACCACCUGUGGCGAAGGCGUCUCACCAGAACGGCUCCGACAGUGAGGGACGAAAGCUGGGGGAGCAAACCGGAUUAGAUACCCGGGUAGUCCCAGCUGUAAACGAUGCGCGUUAGGUGUAUCGGUGACCACGAGUCACCGAGGUGCCGAAGAGAAAUCGUGA
rnacentral:rRNA from 1 species